rnacentral:rRNA from 1 species
GACGUAGGGCGCGAGCGUUGUCCGGAAUCAUUGGGCGUAAAGCGCGUGUAGGCGGUCCGGUAAGUCCGCUGUGAAAGUCGGGGGCUCAACCCUCGGAUGCCGGUGGAUACUGUCGGGCUUGAGUACGGAAGAGGCGAGUGGAAUUCCUGGUGUAGCGGUGAAAUGCGCAGAUAUCAGGAGGAACACCAGUGGCGAAGGCGAGUCUCUGGACAUUUCCUGACGCUGAGGCACGAAAGCCAGGGGAGCAAACGGG